rnacentral:rRNA from 1 species
CCUACGGGGGGCUGCAGUAGGGAAUAUUGCACAAUGGGCGAAAGCCUGAUGCAGCAACGCCGCGUGCGCGAUGAAGGCCUUCGGGUCGUAAAGCGCUUUUCGGGGAGAUGAGGAAGGACAGUAUCCCCGGAAUAAGGCUCGGCUAACUACGUGCCAGCAGCCGCGGUAAAACGUAGGAGCCAAGCGUUAUCCGAAUUCACUGGGCGUAAAGCGUGUGCAGGCGGACUGAUAAGUUGGAUGUGAAAUCUCCUGGCUCAACUGGGGGAGGCCGUACAAUACUGUCAGACUAGAGGGCAACAGAGGGAGGUGGAAUUCCCGGUGUAGUGGUGAAAUGCGUAGAUAUCGGGAGGAACACCAGUGGCGAAAGCGGCCUCCUGGGUUGCAUCUGACGCUCAGACACGAAAGCUAGGGGAGCAAACGGGAUUAGAUACCCGUGUAGUC